GAUGAAGAACGUAGCGAAAUGCGAUAAGUAGUGUGAAUUGCAGAAUUCAGUGAAUCAUCGAAUCUUUGAACGCACAUUGCGCCCGCCAGUAUUCUGGCGGGCAUGCCUGUUCGAGCGUCAUUUCAACCCUCAAGCUCAGCUUGGUGUUGGGACUCGCGGUAACCCGCGUUCCCCAAAUCGAUUGGCGGUCAGGUCGAGCUUCCAUAGCGUAGUAAUCAUACACCUCGUUACUGGUAAUCGUCGCGGCCACGCCGUAAAACCCCAACUUCUGAAUGUUGACCUCGGAUCAGGUAGGAAUACCCGCUGAACUUAAGCAUAUCAAUAAGCGGAGGA
rnacentral:misc_RNA from 1 species